AUGAACGCUAGCUACAGGCUUAACACAUGCAAGUCGAGGGGCAGCAUGAACUUAGCUUGCUAAGUUUGAUGGCGACCGGCGCACGGGUGAGUAACACGUAUCCAACCUGCCGAUGACUCGGGGAUAGCCUUUCGAAAGAAAGAUUAAUACCCGAUGGCAUAGUUCUUCCGCAUGGUGGAACUAUUAAAGAAUUUCGGUCAUCGAUGGGGAUGCGUUCCAUUAGGUUGUUGGCGGGGUAACGGCCCACCAAGCCUUCGAUGGAUAGGGGUUCUGAGAGGAAGGUCCCCCACAUUGGAACUGAGACACGGUCCAAACUCCUACGGGAGGCAGCAGUGAGGAAUAUUGGUCAAUGGACGAGAGUCUGAACCAGCCAAGUAGCGUGAAGGAUGACUGCCCUAUGGGUUGUAAACUUCUUUUAUACGGGAAUAAAGUGAGGCACGUGUGCCUUUUUGUAUGUACCGUAUGAAUAAGGAUCGGCUAACUCCGUGCCAGCAGCCGCGGUAAUACGGAGGAUCCGAGCGUUAUCCGGAUUUAUUGGGUUUAAAGGGAGCGUAGGCGGACGCUUAAGUCAGUUGUGAAAGUUUGCGGCUCAACCGUAAAAUUGCAGUUGAUACUGGGUGUCUUGAGUACAGUAGAGGCAGGCGGAAUUCGUGGUGUAGCGGUGAAAUGCUUAGAUAUCACGAAGAACUCCGAUUGCGAAGGCAGCCUGCUGGACUGUAACUGACGCUGAUGCUCGAAAGUGUGGGUAUCAAACAGGAUUAGAUACCCUGGUAGUCCACACAGUAAACGAUGAAUACUCGCUGUUUGCGAUAUACAGUAAGCGGCCAAGCGAAAGCGUUAAGUAUUCCACCUGGGGAGUACGCCGGCAACGGUGAAACUCAAAGGAAUUGACGGGGGCCCGCACAAGCAGUGGAGUAUGUGGUUUAAUUCGACGCAACGCGAAGAACCUUACCAAGGCUUGACAUAUACAGGAAUAACUAAGAAAUUAGUUAGCUCUUCGGAGUCUGUAUACAGGUGGUGCAUGGUUGUCGUCAGCUCGUGUCGUGAGAUGUUGGGUUAAGUCCCGCAACGAGCGCAACCCUUAUUGCCAGUUACUACGUAAGAGGACUCUGGCGAGACUGCCGUUGACAAAACGGAGGAAGGUGGGGAUGACGUCAAAUCAGCACGGCCCUUACGUCCGGGGCUACACACGUGUUACAAUGGGGGGUACAGAAGGCAGCUACACGGCGACGUGAUGCUAAUCCCGAAAGCCUCUCUCAGUUCGGAUUGGAGUCUGCAACCCGACUCCAUGAAGCUGGAUUCGCUAGUAAUCGCGCAUCAGCCACGGCGCGGUGAAUACGUUCCCGGGCCUUGUACACACCGCCCGUCAAGCCAUGAAAGCCGGGGGUACCUGAAGUGCGUAACCGCAAGGAGCGCCCUAGGGUAAAACUGGUGAUUGGGGCU
rnacentral:rRNA from 1 species